AGAGUUUGAUCCUGGCUCAGGACGAACGCUGGUGGCGUGCCUAAUACAUGCAAGUCGAGCGGAUUGAUGGGAGCUUGCUCCCUGAUAUCAGCGGCGGACGGGUGAGUAACACGUGGGCAACCUGCCUGUAAGACUGGGAUAACUUCGGGAAACCGGAGCUAAUACCGGAUAAUCCUUUUCCUCUCAUGAGGAAAAGCUGAAAGACGGUUUCGGCUGUCACUUACAGAUGGGCCCGCGGCGCAUUAGCUAGUUGGUGAGGUAACGGCUCACCAAGGCGACGAUGCGUAGCCGACCUGAGAGGGUGAUCGGCCACACUGGGACUGAGACACGGCCCAGACUCCUACGGGAGGCAGCAGUAGGGAAUCUUCCGCAAUGGACGAAAGUCUGACGGAGCAACGCCGCGUGAGCGAAGAAGGCCUUCGGGUCGUAAAGCUCUGUUGUUAGGGAAGAACAAGUAUCGGAGUAACUGUCGGUACCUUGACGGUACCUAACCAGAAAGCCACGGCUAACUACGUGCCAGCAGCCGCGGUAAUACGUAGGUGGCAAGCGUUGUCCGGAAUUAUUGGGCGUAAAGCGCGCGCAGGCGGUUCCUUAAGUCUGAUGUGAAAGCCCCCGGCUCAACCGGGGAGGGUCAUUGGAAACUGGGGAACUUGAGUGCAGAAGAGAAGAGCGGAAUUCCACGUGUAGCGGUGAAAUGCGUAGAGAUGUGGAGGAACACCAGUGGCGAAGGCGGCUCUUUGGUCUGUAACUGACGCUGAGGCGCGAAAGCGUGGGGAGCGAACAGGAUUAGAUACCCUGGUAGUCCACGCCGUAAACGAUGAGUGCUAAGUGUUAGAGGGUUUCCGCCCUUUAGUGCUGCAGCAAACGCAUUAAGCACUCCGCCUGGGGAGUACGGCCGCAAGGCUGAAACUCAAAGGAAUUGACGGGGGCCCGCACAAGCGGUGGAGCAUGUGGUUUAAUUCGAAGCAACGCGAAGAACCUUACCAGGUCUUGACAUCCUCUGACACUCCUAGAGAUAGGACGUUCCCCUUCGGGGGACAGAGUGACAGGUGGUGCAUGGUUGUCGUCAGCUCGUGUCGUGAGAUGUUGGGUUAAGUCCCGCAACGAGCGCAACCCUUGAUCUUAGUUGCCAGCAUUUAGUUGGGCACUCUAAGGUGACUGCCGGUGACAAACCGGAGGAAGGUGGGGAUGACGUCAAAUCAUCAUGCCCCUUAUGACCUGGGCUACACACGUGCUACAAUGGAUGGUACAAAGGGUCGCAAAACCGCGAGGUCGAGCCAAUCCCAUAAAACCAUUCUCAGUUCGGAUUGUAGGCUGCAACUCGCCUACAUGAAGCUGGAAUCGCUAGUAAUCGCGGAUCAGCAUGCCGCGGUGAAUACGUUCCCGGGCCUUGUACACACCGCCCGUCACACCACGAGAGUUUGUAACACCCGAAGUCGGUGGGGUAACCGUAAGGAGCCAGCCGCCUAAGGUGGGACAGAUGAUUGGGGUGAAGUCGUAACAAGGUA
rnacentral:rRNA from 1 species